AUGCUUUCCCCUGCCACCGUUCAGGGCGUUGCCAGCUCCUCCCUCCUGCAUGGUCGGCUGGGUUCCACCAGCCCCGCUAGUGUUAACAGGAGGAAGGGUCUCCCUGGUCUGCAUCUCCCUGAUGGAUCUGGUUCUCAUCCCAAUGCAGACAGCGGAAAGGGAGGGUUUUCCGCAAGGAGGAUUGUACUGGUAAAGCCAUGUUCCAACCGCUGUGACAGUUGUUCGAAGAAACGCUUCAGGAUCCUGAUCCCACUUGUUUAAAUUUUCCAUUGAAUGCUAUCGUCUUGUUUACAACCAACCUGGAUACAAUGGUUUGGAUACCCGUCAAGUGGAAUGUCUGCUCAACUUUAAUUCUUAAGUCAGAAUUGUGUAAGCUGAAUCAAUUGAGAUGUCUAUGAUGUUGGCUAUCAUUUCUGCUGUUAAUUGUCAUUCUUUUUCAAUUAGGGUAUCAACAAGAUGAAUUUAUUCCUUGCAAAUUGAUGCAGAUAGUCUCCAGCUGUGGGUUUCAUCUUCAAUGUUGUCUUGUCCCUUCUUAAAAUGAGCUAUUCAUUUGUAAACUGCUGAUUUCUUUGGGGCAUUGUGCCCAUAAACUUUUUAUAAAGCAUCAAUGAUUUCACCAUUUUUCCACCCAAGCUUUACUGUAAAUUUUAUGUUUGUUCUUGCCUCAAUUUUAGCAGAAUUUAUGUUGCUCUGAUAGGAGCUCUUUUCAAAUUGAUGUCUUAGGCUUCUUAGCGACUCAAACUAGAUCCUGUUCAGAUAUAUAUAUAAAUAUUUAUUUAUUUAUUUAUUUAUUUAUUUAUUUAUUUUUAUUUUUGAGAUGGAGUUUCAUUCUUGUUGCCCAUGCUGGAGUGCAAGGGUGCAAUCUCAGCUCACUGCAUCCUCCAUCUCCCCGGUUCAAGCAAUUCUCCUGCCUCAGCCUCCCAAGCAGGUGGGAUUACAGGCAUGUGCCACCUCACCCGGCUAAUUUUGUAUUUUUAGUAGGGACGGGGUUUCACUCUGGCCAGGCUGGUCUCAAACUCCUGGCCUCAGGUGAUCUGCCUGACUUGGCCUUCCAAAGUGCUGGGAUGACAGGCGUGAGCCACCACACCUGGCUCAGAUAUGUUAUAAGAAGUUAAUACAAGUUUAUUUUGGUGCAAAAAAAAUUUGAAAUACACAUAGUUUUUUCUUAAUAGUCAUUUUCUAUGAACUUUUUGAAGUCCCUUAUUUAUGAGAGUUUUUGUGUUUCUCAUCUUUGCAAAUGAUUGUUUUUUUCUGUCUUUUUAAUUUUGGUCAUUCUACUGGUAUGCCAGUAUGGUUUCAAUUUGCAUUUCUUUGAUGACUAAUAAAGUUGAGAUGCUUUUUGAAUUCUAAUUGCCAUUUAGAUGUCUUAUUUUAU
rnacentral:lncRNA from 1 species